rnacentral:lncRNA from 1 species
GAUCCAGGGGUUGUUGGACAUGAUAGCGUUCGUUGAUUUUUCCAUCUGACGCACAUAUUCGGAAUUGGUAAGGUAGCUACAUGGCGAUCGCAGCCUUGCUCUUCUCCCUCCUAUCUUCUUUUAGACUUUAUUAUUUUUUUCCUAAAUGUAUAACUCCUAGUUUUUUAUCGGAAAGACCAUAGUAGAUGCUCGUGACUUGUGGCACCUCGAUGUCGGGCUUCUGUUUCUUUCUGUAUGUUGUUAUUUUGUAACGACCCGAUCGGUCGUUUUGAGCUUUUGCACUUCGCUCGCCAGUUCUUGGGCAUGAGUAGUCUCGUGUGAUAUAUUAUAACUUAUGUAAAUUGUCGGUUUUGGUUUUCAGGGUAAUCGAAAUGAAUUUGAAAGAACAGUUCUCAGUUUGUAGUUUAAAAUUUGAAAGGUUUCACCAAGUUUUGACUUGUUAGUAUAUGAUCUCGGAUUGGAAUUUUUAUGAUUUGGUUAGCUCUGUUAGGUGACUUGGGACUUAGGGGCAUGAUCGGAAUGUAUUUUGGAGGUCUGUGGAAGGUUUAGGCUUGAAUUGCCCAAAUUGAAAUUUUGGCUUUUUUGGUUGAUAGGUGAGAUUUUGAUAUAGGGGUCGGAAUGGAAUUUUGGAAGUUGGAGUAGAUCCGUUGUGUCAUUUGUGACGUGUGUACAAAAUUUCAGGUCAUUCGGAGUCGAAUUAAUGGGUUUCGGCAUCGUUUGUGGAACUUGAAAGUUCCAAAGUUCUUAAGCUUGAAUCCGAAGUUAAUUUGAUAUUUUGGUGUUGUUUUGAGUGAUUCGAAGGCUCGACUAAGUUUUAAUGAUGUUAUGGGAGGUGUUGGUAUAUUUGGGUUGAGGUCUCGAGGGCCUCGAGUGUGUUUCGGGUGAGUUUUGAGCGAGUUCGGGGAUUACCGGGACUCAGGUAUUGGUUCUGGUGUUUAAAUUUACAGCUGGGGUGUAGGUUUUACCGUUGCGCGUGGUGGUUUUACUGCUGGGCGUGGUGGUUUUACCGCUGGGGCGGAAAAUGGUCCGCGGUGAGGAAGAAUCCGCAGGUUCACUGGUCUGACUUCGGAAGCCUAUAUAUUUUGAUCUACAAGAAAUUUUGAAAUAAUGCAAAAAUGAAAGUUCUAGCCCUUCGUGUUUAGUUUUCACAAAGUUAAAGAAAUCACAAUUUAGGCAUCUGUAGAGAAAGUUAUGGCCAAAAUACUAAAGCAUGUCACUACAAUCAAUAUUUUUGCUGUAGAAAUGGUUUUACCGCGGUCAGUGGUGGUUACCGCGAUCAGCGGUGAUGAGGAUCCGAAAGGUGCUCGAUAAAUACAAGAUUUGGAGUUUUAUUUCAUAUUUUGACCUAGAGAGCUCGGGCUUUGGCAAUUUUUCGAGGGAUUUUCAAGAAAACCAUCAGGGUAAGUGAUUCUAACUCAAUUUUGGCUAAAAUACAUGAUUAUAACAUUGGAUUCAUCAUUUGAGUAGUGAUUUGGGAUGCAAAUUUGGGGGAAAUUGUGGAACUUCAUAAAAUGAAUUUUUGAGAUUUGAAAGCCGAUUCGAAGUCGGAAUUGAGUGAAACUAGUAUGGAUAGUCGCGUAAUUGAAUGGGUUAUCGGAUUUUGAGACUUUGGUCGAAUUCCAAGACGUGGGCCCGAGGUCGGGUUUGAGCAAUUUCAGAAUUCUUGAGUUAAUUUGAUUAUUUUCGUCUGAGCUUUGUUCCUUUAGUGUAUAUUGAUGAUAAUAUACUGAUUUUGGUUAGAUUUGGAGCAUUUGGAGGCCAAUUUGAGAGGCAAAGGCAUCAGAGUUAUGUUGUAUUCUACUGUUUUCAUAACUCAGCCAUAUUACUCUAUUUUGAUAUUUUUAAAUGAUAUUUUGGGCUGAGCAUUAUGUUUUACUGUUGCCCGAGUGGCUUGAGAGAUUUUUGACUGAGUGAGGUCGAGGGCCUGUGUUGUGAGGAUAUUAUGGGAUCAGGCUGUGUGUCGCAGCAGUGUAUACUGGUUUAUGAUUAUGAGGCUGAGGGCCUGAUUUGUUAUGCCAUUAGAUGGCUUGAUAUGAGGUCACGAGCCUACUGAUUAUGCCACGAGAUGACUUGAUAUUGCGCUUGGGCCGUAAGGAAAACCUCCUGAAGUCUAUACACCCCCAAUGAGUGCGGGUACCCAGUGUGAGAUGUGAUAUAGCUUGAGGGGCUGAUGUUGUUCCAUGUUAUUGCUCGAGGGGCGGUUCUUGAUUUAUGUUAUGCCCGAGGGGUGAUUACGUGUGAUUGUGAGGUAGCCCAAGGGGCUGGUUCUGUUGAUAAUAUGCCCGAGAGGCGAUUUAUGGUACAUGUUUUGCCCGAUGGGCUGUUUACGUUUCUAUCAUGUUUAUUCACUCUUUUAUCUCUCGUUUGAAAACUAUUGGGAAUUGUUUUAAAAGGUUUUUACCGAAAUUGAGCAUGAUUUACGAAGUAAAUGAUUUCUGUAAUGUGUUGGAAAUAUCCUGCUUUUGUUGUAGCGUUUUGAUGUGGUUUACGUGUUUUCUUACUGCUCAGCUUUCUUUUACCUUUAUUACUUACUGAGUUGGAGUACUCACAUUACUUUUUGCACCUUGUGUGCAGAUUCAGGUAUUUUUGAACCCGGUAGUGGGUGUUGAUUGCUCAGAAGUAGAGUCAUCGGAGUUUAGCAAGGUAGCUAGCUGCCCGACGUCUACAACACCAUUUUUCUCCCUCUUGUUUUCAUUAGACUGUAUUUAGUACAUUUUCAGAUUUUUUGUUUUAUUCAGACCUUAGUAGAUGCUUGUGACUUGUGACACCCCGACGUCGGGCUUGUAUAUUAUUUCCGCACUGUUCAUUUAGACAUACAUUAUGAAACAUCUGUUU